AUUGAACGCUGGCGGCAUGCUUUACACAUGCAAGUCGAACGGCAGCGCGGGCUUCGUCCUGGCGGCGAGUGGCGAACGGGUGAGUAAUGCAUCGGAACGUGCCCAGUAGUGGGGGAUAGCCCGGCGAAAGCCGGAUUAAUACCGCAUACGACCUGAUGGUGAAAGCGGGGGACCGAAAGGCCUCGCGCUAUUUGAGCGGCCGAUGUCGGAUUAGCUAGUUGGUGGGGUAAAGGCUUACCAAGGCGACGAUCCGUAGCUGGUCUGAGAGGACGACCAGCCACACUGGGACUGAGACACGGCCCAGACUCCUACGGGAGGCAGCAGUGGGGAAUUUUGGACAAUGGGGGCAACCCUGAUCCAGCCAUGCCGCGUGCGGGAAGAAGGCCUUCGGGUUGUAAACCGCUUUUGUUCGGGAAGAAAUCCUCUGGGCUAAUACCCCGGGGGGAUGACGGUACCGGAAGAAUAAGCACCGGCUAACUACGUG
rnacentral:rRNA from 1 species